UUCACCAAAAAUUAAUAAAACUACAUUUUCUCAUUCUGAUUGCUGUAGUACUUGCCAAUGGUGGGCUUUUACUUACUACGGCAAUCAGGCCUAAAAAAUUUUUUUGUUUGGUUCCGGUUUCCGACCGACCCUGUCAAUUUAUGUGCGACCCAAAUUAUUUUAUGAGCUUUAUCAAAAAAAAAAAAUUUUUUGAUGCAAACUAUAAUUACGUUUUGGUACAGCACCUCUUCAUUCUGUACAAGGAUGAGCGAAUUCAUCAUUCGUCAUUCAUCAUAUCAUUCGCUGCCGCUGGAAAAAAUAAAAUAAAAAAAUAAAAUAAAUUCCCUACCUACCCAUGACCUCAACUGACAACCAACAGGAACCAAACUUUUUUUUUUUUUAGGCCUCAGAAUGAGAAAAUGUAGUUUUAUUGAUUUUUGGUGAAUAUUUUAGCUAUUAAUUAGGCCUACAUCCUGUUUCACUAUUAUGGAAAAUGUAAACAAAUAAUGACCCGUAGUAGGUAAAAGCCCACCAUUGGCAAUUACUACAGCAAUCAGAAUGAAAAAAAAUAGUUGUAUAGAUUUUUGGUGAAUAUUUUAGCUAUUAAUUUCAUCCUGUUUCACUAUUAUGCAAAAUAUCAACAAAUAAUGACCCGUAGUAAGUAAAAGCCCACCAUUGGCAAGUACUACAGCAAUCAGAAGGAGAAAAUAUGUUUCAAGUGAUUUGUGGUGAUUUCUUUCCUGAAACAAUUCCAUGGUAACGUUUAUGCCACCAGUCUGUGGGGUGCAAUUUGUAGACGGUCCCUAAAACAGAUGGCAGGCAGGACGUUGAUUUAAGAGCAUUUCUCGCACAGAUAUCGAUAGGAGCAACAUGUCGCUGUGAUUUUUGUUGAUACUGAGUCCUAUGCUGUCCUCAACAUACAACAGCCGUAAUGAAGUGCAAUUGUGUUGAUGAAGCCGAUUGAGGGGUAAAUGAAAACCGAAU
ensembl:lncRNA